ACUAUCGUUCGGUGGCAGCGUUUGAAUUUUAAAGCCGCGGAACGAAUUACAAAAAAAAAAAAAACAAGAACCAAUUGUUUUCACUGUGCCAUAAAUUUUGGUGUUUUCUCUCUUUCUAUCACUCCUCGUUUUCUCUCUUUCUCUGGGUCUUUUCUUCAGAGAUUAUAAUGAGAAAAGUCAUACAACUUUAUGUCGUAUUUAAUAGUACGCCGUCCGUUAAUCUUUAACCGAAUUUAUUUCUCCGAUAUUUUAUAGUUUCAAAUGUACGUAUGUGGGAAUAAUAGGGAGGCGCGCAGUAAUGACUUGUCGCAAAUCACACGACUGCACUUGGCUGCAGUGCACGUAAGCAAGUGCACUGACCUUUAUUUUAAAAGCCCUUGUCCUACAUAGAACGAGCUAAAAUUAUUUCUACGAUUCUUGUAUUAUACUAUUAUUUAUUUAUCAUGUAAAUUUUUGAUAAUACGUUUUUUUCCUUUGAAAAUAAAUUAAUACUUUAUUGAA